AUUGAACGCUGGCGGCAGGCCUAACACAUGCAAGUCGAACGGUAACAGGAAACAGCUUGCUGUUUCGCUGACGAGUGGCGGACGGGUGAGUAAUGUCUGGGAAACUGCCUGAUGGAGGGGGAUAACUACUGGAAACGGUAGCUAAUACCGCAUAACGUCGCAAGACCAAAGAGGGGGACCCUCGGGCCUCUUGCCCUCGGAUGUGCCCAGAUGGGAUUAGCUUGUUGGUGGGGUAACGGCUCACCAAGGCGACGAUCCCUAGCUGGUCUGAGAGGAUGACCAGCCACACUGGAACUGAGACACGGUCCAGACUCCUACGGGAGGCAGCAGUGGGGAAUAUUGCACAAUGGGCGCAAGCCUGAUGCAGCCAUGCCGCGUGUAUGAAGAAGGCCUUCGGGUUGUAAAGUACUUUCAGCGGGGAGGAAGGGAGUAAAGUUAAUACCUUUGCUCAUUGACGUUACCCGCAGAAGAAGCACCGGCUAACUCCGUG
rnacentral:rRNA from 1 species